UGAACUGAGAUAUUUUUGUAAGCUAUUACAUGGCAAAAAAAGAGAAACAAAACAUAAAAUCUAGGGAAUUUCAUCUUGAAACCAAAAACUGACAGCAAUUAAAGGGGAGAUGAAGUGAAAAGGGAAUCUAACCUCAGAUGAAGUCCUGAGGGACCAAAUAUCUAAUCUUUGAAGCUGCUAAUAUGACAAGACCAACCAUGACUGGAAAAAAUCGUCGUGCUCCAAAAGAUGGGAAGGCAAUUACUAGGCUUCAACCCCGUCCCUGUCGCCCGCACGGUAUGCUAACCUUUCAUGUCCAAAUGUCAACUUUGAAUAAUCUUGACAGGAGAUCCAAACAAAACAAAACUUUUUCUCUUUCAGAUUACAUAAAAACAACCUAGGAAUUCCCAAAAGUCUGAAGAGUUCUUGAUGAAAUAAUUUAAAACGUAACAGGAAGAGUCGAUCUUUGUUUUAUGUAUUGCGUGCCUCUUCAAAACGCAGAUUGCUACUUAUGUUUACUUCAUGUCAGAAAAAUCUGCUGAAACAUGAAAUUAUUAUUUACAGUACCAUUCCUUUUUAGGGGCUGCAUGUACACCUCAGCAGGUUUCAUGGAGCCCAUUGUUGACAUUACCAACUGGGAAUAUCCCAACACACAGCUAUGUGGAGGUCAGCCCUCAGAUGGACAGAGGCGCAUGGAGGCAAAACAUCAGUGAAGCUGCCAGGAGCUUUAAAGCUUACACAUCUGGAACAAAAAUGUGACGAGGACGGAUUUGUUCUGUUUUGGGCGAUUACUGUUUUUUGUGUGACGCAUGAUUGCUCUGCAUGAACACGACUGCCAACUGAGAAAUUGGAGACAAGUUCACCAAAGUAAAAAGCAAACGACUGCUAAAAGAUAAAGCAUGACGACUGACGAAGCUUUGAAAGGACCAAGAGCUGUGGAGUUGGAGCAGAUGCUGCGGAUGUGUGUGACGGGUGACUGAGUGAAGCCUCUUUGAUAAACUGACUCAACAGAGGGUAAACACAGAUGCAAUAAUCUGGAGCGAGAGGCUGCCAAACAAUCCUGACUGCAGCCUCCUUUCUACCUCUCUCUAUUUACAUGAAUACAUUUCUGUUCUUCCCAUGCAACAAUGCCAGAAAUGUCAUUCAGUAUCUCUCUCACUGUUGCCUCUCUUGAAGGUCAUAUGUACUUCAUUGUCGUUUACAUAUCUCUGUGUAACUCAACAUGCUUGUAAAAGGGAUUUAUGGUAAGAAAAAAAGAGAGAUGCAAAGAGCGAUUUGUUGUGAUUUCUUCUAUUUGCCGUCUGCCUUUUCUUCGCAUGAACACUCUUCAGAGCACAAAUGCUUGCAAAAGUGCAAUCUAUACUUCCAUGACAACUGACAGGCACCACAUUCCUGAGGAAACAGUUUGAUUGAACCAGGAGCUCUCAAACAGCAGCUUAAUAAACAGGAGAAAGAUCCA